GACGAACGCUGGCGGCGUGCUUAACACAUUCGAGUCGAACGGAAAGGCCCUGCUUUUGUGGGGUGCUCGAGUGGCGAACGGGUGAGUAACACGUGAGUAACCUGCCCUUGACUUUGGGAUAACUUCAGGAAACUGGGGCUAAUACCGGAUAGGAGCUCCUGCUGCAUGGUGGGGGUUGGAAAGUUUCGGCGGUUGGGGAUGGACUCGCGGCUUAUCAGCUUGUUGGUGGGGUAGUGGCUUACCAAGGCUUUGACGGGUAGCCGGCCUGAGAGGGUGACCGGCCACAUUGGGACUGAGAUACGGCCAAGACUCCUACGGGAGGCAGCAGUGGGGAAUAUUGCACAAUGGGCGGAAGCCUGAUGCAGCAACGCCGCGUGCGGGAUGACGGCCUUCGGGUUGUAAACCGCUUUCGCCUGUGACGAAGCGUGAGUGACGGUAAUGGGUAAAGAAGCACCGGCUAACUACGUG
rnacentral:rRNA from 1 species